GACGAACGCUGGCGGGCGCCUAACACAUGCAAGUCGAACGGAGCUGAGAGAAGCUUGCUUUUCUUAGCUUAGUGGCGAACGGGUGAGUAACGCGUGAGUAACCUGCCCUGGAGUGGGGGACAACAGUUGGAAACGACUGCUAAUACCGCAUAAGCCCACGAUCCGGCAUCGGAUUGAGGGAAAAGGAUUUAUUCGCUUCAGGAUGGACUCGCGUCCAAUUAGCUAGUUGGUGAGGUAACGGCCCACCAAGGCGACGAUUGGUAGCCGGACUGAGAGGUUGAACGGCCACAUUGGGACUGAGACACGGCCCAGACUCCUACGGGAGGCAGCAGUGGGGGAUAUUGCACAAUGGGGGAAACCCUGAUGCAGCGACGCCGCGUGGAGGAAGAAGGUUUUCGGAUUGUAAACUCCUGUCGUUAGGGACGAUAAUGACGGUACCUAACAAGAAAGCACCGGCUAACUACGUG
rnacentral:rRNA from 1 species